rnacentral:lncRNA from 1 species
CGCUUCUUCUGCUUGAUCUGCUAAAUUAUCCAUAUAUUUUCUCUUAUCAGCUCUAACCAGGGUUUUGACAUUGCGAUGUAUGUCACUAUAUUCUUGUUGGUAUUUGUCUUUCAAUCUUGGUGAUUUGGUAUCAUUGACUUUCUUUUUUGCCUGCCUUCUGAUGUUAAUCUUGUUCCAUGUUUCCGGUGUGAUCCAAUCUUUUUUCUUUGUCUUUUGCUUAUAGCCUAUACAUUCCUCGCUACAUUUAGUGUAUAUAUCUGAUAUCUCAUUCCACUUCUCAUCUAAUGUUUCAUUUUCAUCUCU